rnacentral:lncRNA from 1 species
AUGUAUUGGCUAUGUGCUUUGCAAUUUAAGUUGAGAUGGCAGAUUAGGACUGAACGGUGCCAACAACGAUGGGAUGGUGUAAGGGAGACAAGAAGAGUGACAAUGAAUUUAAUAUGAGCGAGCAUGGUGUGUAAUUAGGAAACUUUCGGAGAAAGUGAGAGGAAGUGUGGGAUUGAGAACUUGGGUGUCCUUAUCAAUUUGAGGACUUACACCCACACAAAUUCCAGAUUCGAUACAGUUGUUAUUGAAGGUGAAGAAUUAGUAUAAAAUGAUGAACUACGAGUGGCUUGAUCCCUUUAAAAGGGUACGUAGGCAGCCCGAUCAAGUUUUGGGUGCAGCCGCAAAUUAACAAAAUAAAUUUAGGUUCCAAACGCAGUAAAACUGCGUUGUUGUUUUGUUUGAGAAUGAGAUCCUAUCUCAUUUUCGAUUUUAGGAUUUUCUUAUUUAUUUUAUUCGUUUUUUUUUUUAUAACACCUGGGUCAGGGUGUUACAUCGUUUAAUGGCAUGUUUAAUAGAUGAUCUAGAAUCGGGAGUGAGAUAUUUUUCCCACCAGGAAUGAAGCAUUCUUGUAAAUCUUGUGGAAAGUAUAUCAAUAAUUUCAGUUUGGCUGAAAUUAUGAUUAGUGACAUAGCUAUUGGCUGUCAUAGACAUGUGAUGUAAUUUGUUUAAGAUUUCUUGUUAUGAUAAAUUAUCAAUGUUCCAUUCAUAAGUUUUAUUAGAAGAAACUGAGAAUUGAUUAUUAAGAUGAUUAGUAGGUUGUCUAUCUAAGGGGAGAGGACGUUCUGUAUAAAUCUGAGUCAAUAUCCAUUAAACCAAUUCUUGACCCAAAAAACCCAUCUAAAAUAUUAUAUGAUUCCCUCUACAUAAUUCGUACCAUUUUAUUAUCCCAAUGGGGUGAUUCCCCCUCUACUCCUCACAAAUAUGAUACAGUCAAAUUUAAUUAUCAUGAAUUCUAGAAGUAAU